AUACGUAGGGGGCAAGCGUUGUCCGGAAUUACUGGGCGUAAAGAGUACGUAGGCGGUUUGUUAAGUUAGAUGUGAAAGUUUGCAGCUCAACUGUAAAAGUGCAUUUAAAACUGGCAGACUUGAGUCUCGGAGAGGUAAGCGGAAUUCCUAGUGUAGCGGUGAAAUGCGUAGAGAUUAGGAAGAACACCGGUGGCGAAGGCGGCUUACUGGACGAUAACUGACGGUGAGGCGCGAAAGCAUGGGGAGC
rnacentral:rRNA from 1 species